rfam:Picea glauca, whole genome shotgun sequence.
AUGUACAUUCCUACAUCAUAGCACUAAUUUAUUGGAUCCCAUUAGAAAUUCAUUGUUAAGUGCACUUAGGCUAGAGUAGUUAUGGAAUGGGUGAAUGCCCAGGAAGUCCUAGUGUUUUACAUG